rnacentral:tRNA from 1 species
GCCGCUAUAGCUCAGUGGUUGUGAGCGUUGGUCUUGUAAAACCAAAGGUCGCAAGUUCGAAUCUUGUUGGCGGCA